rnacentral:lncRNA from 1 species
GCUCUGCCGGCGGUACCGGGGCCGGCCCUGACCUGCCACCCCCGUCCUGCUGCAGUUUGACAUCCAGCAAGCCCAGAUCUACUGUGACGCCGAGCUGGCCAGGCAGGAGGGGUGCUGCGAGAUCUCAGCCGGUGGGUGCCAGACAGAAGCACCCAAGACUCGCCGGCAAGCGGAGCUGAUGCAGAGCAGCAACCUCAUCGAGAUGGUGCCGCAGCCCGAGGGCCGGGUGUUCACCCGCUGCUUCUGCCUGGAGGAGCCGCUGGGCACCGUGAGCUCCAGCAGCGGCACCUCGGCUCCAUCCCGGUCCCAUCCCCGCCUCCGACCCCAUCCCCGCCUCCGACCCCAUCCCCACCCCUGGCCCCAUUCCAUUCCUGGUCCCCAUCCCCUUCCUGGUGCCUGUCCUCAUCUCCAUCUCCAUCCUGGGUCCCCAUCCUGUCCCCAUGCCCAUCUCCACCCCCAACCCCGUCCCCAUCCCAGUCCCCAUCCCAUGCCCGGUUGAUCCAGCCCCUGGAAAAUCCCUGCCUCGCUUUUUCCACCCGGUGCUGCUGAGGGAGGUGUCGGUGGCCGGAGGGAAUGAGGGAGGGGAAGGCUCCUGUGGUCCCAUCCCUGGGGAUCCCAGACCCCUGGAUAACCCAGAGGGAGCACCCCAGAGUGGGAUAAUCCAGGCAGGCACCACCACGAGCUCCUUCUGCCCUACAGGAGCCAGGGAGAAGCUCAGGAAGGACCAGCCUGAGGGACGAUCCCAAGGAAAAGUGCCCUCCCUGCUCACCCCAGGCAGCAUCAGGAAAUGUGAGUGUGGCACUGGACACGGGGACCCCAAGCUGGGCAGGCUGGGCUGUGAACUGGGGGUGGCAAA